CCCGACUGCUAUUUGGGUGAGGAUAAGCCAUGCGAGUUGAAUGGGAAACCUAAAAAUCCCAUGGCAAACUGCUCAGUAACACAUGAUCAACUUACCCUAUAGAGGAAAAUAACCUCGGGAAACCGAGGAUAAUAUUUCAUAGUUGAAUAGGCUUGGAAAAGUUUCUCAAUAAAAGGGAUAAAAAAAAUGGUUUUUAUCUGCUAUAGGAUAGGAUCGUGGACGAUUAUGGUUGUUGGUGAGGUAACGGCUCACCAAGCCGAUAAUCGAUAGGGGCCGUGAGAGCGGGAGCCCCGAGAUGGGUACUGAGACAACGACCCAGGCCUUACGAGGCGCAGCAGGCGCGGAACCUCCGCAAUACACGAAAGUGUGACGGGGUUACCCAAAGUGUUCAAUUCUGAACUGUGGUAGGUGAGUAAUGUCCCCUACUAGAAAGGAGAGGGCAAGGCUGGUGCCAGCCGCCGCGGUAAAACCAGCUCUUCAAGUGGUCGGGAUAAUAUUGGGCUUAAAGUGUUCGUAGCCGGUUUAGUAAGUUCCUGGUAAAAUCGGGUAGCUUAACUAUCUGUAUGCUAGGAAUACUGCUAUACUAGAGGGCGGGAGAGGUCUGAGGUACUACAGGGGUAGGGGUGAAAUCUUAUAAUCCUUGUAGGACCACCAGUGGCGAAGGCGUCAGACUGGAACGCGCCUGACGGUGAGGGACGAAAGCCAGGGGAGCGAACCGGAUUAGAUAC
rnacentral:rRNA from 1 species